ACGCUCGACAGUGCCAGCCGCCGCGGUAAUACGAAGGGGGCUAGCGUUGCUCGGAAUUACUGGGCGUAAAGGGCGCGUAGGCGGCUUGACCAGUCAGGCGUGAAAUUCCUGGGCUUAACCUGGGGACUGCGCUUGAUACUGUUAGGCUUGAGGCCGAGAGAGGGUGGUGGAAUUCCCAGUGUAGAGGUGAAAUUCGUAGAUAUUGGGAAGAACACCGGUGGCGAAGGCGACCACCUGGCUCGGUACUGACGCUGAGGCGCGACAGCGUGGGGAGCAAACAGGAUUAGAUACCCUGGUAGUCCACGCCGUAAACGAUGUGUGCUGGAUGUUGGGGUUCCUAGAAUCUCAGUGUCGUAGCUAACGCGGUAAGCACACCGCCUGGGGA
rnacentral:rRNA from 1 species